rnacentral:rRNA from 1 species
GAUGAACGCUGGCGGCGUGCCUAAUACAUGCAAGUCGAGCGAACGGACGAGAAGCUUGCUUCUCUGAUGUUAGCGGCGGACGGGUGAGUAACACGUGGAUAACCUACCUAUAAGACUGGGAUAACUUCGGGAAACCGUAGCUAAUACCGGAUAAUAUUUUGAACCACAUGGUUCAAAAGUGAAAGACGGUCUUGCUGUCACUUAUAGAUGGAUCCGCGCUGCAUUAGCUAGUUGGUAAGGUAACGGCUUACCAAGGCAACGAUGCAUAGCCGACCGGAGAGGGUGAUCGGCCACACUGGAACUGAGACACGGUCCAGACUCCUACGGGAGGCAGCAGUAGGGAAUCUUCCGCAAUGGGCGAAAGCCUGACGGAGCAACGCCGCGUGAGUGAUGAAGGUCUUCGGAUCGUAAAACUCUGUUAUUAGGGAAGAACAUAUGUGUAAGUAACUGUGCACAUCUUGACGGUACCUAAUCAGAAAGCCACGGCUAACUACGUG